UAGGGAAUCUUCCACAAUGGACGCAAGUCUGAUGGAGCAACGCCGCGUGAGUGAAGAAGGCUUUCGGGUCGUAAAACUCUGUUAUUGAAGAAGAACGUGCGUGACAGUAACUGGUCAUGCAGUGACGGUAUUCAAUCAGAAAGUCACGGCUAACUACGUGCCAGCAGCCGCGGUAAUACGUAGGUGGCAAGCGUUGUCCGGAUUUAUUGGGCGUAAAGCGAGUGCAGGCGGUCUUUUAAGUCUGAUGUGAAAGCCUUCGGCUUAACCGAAGAAGGGCAUCGGAAACUGGGAGACUUGAGUGCAGAAGAGGAGAGUGGAACUCCAUGUGUAGCGGUGAAAUGCGUAGAUAUAUGGAAGAACACCAGUGGCGAAGGCGGCUCUCUGGUCUGUAACUGACACUGAGGCUCGAAAGCGUGGGUAGCAAACAGGAUUAGAUACCCUGGUGGU
rnacentral:rRNA from 1 species